rnacentral:rRNA from 1 species
ACGGAAGGCAGCAGUGAGGAAUAUUGGUCAAUGGACGGAAGUCUGAACCAGCCAAGUAGCGUGAGGGAUGACGGCCCUAUGGGUUGUAAACCUCUUUUGUGAGGGAAUAAAGUGCGCCACGUGUGGUGCAUUGCAUGUACCUUACGAAUAAGGAUCGGCUAACUCCGUGCCAGCAGCCGCGGUAAUACGGAGGAUCCGAGCGUUAUCCGGAUUUAUUGGGUUUAAAGGGAGCGUAGGCGGAAGGUCAAGUCAGCUGUGAAAUGUAGUCGCUCAACGUCUGCACUGCAGUUGAAACUGGCCUCCUUGAGUGCGUAAGAGGCAGGUGGAAUUCGUCGUGUAGCGGUGAAAUGCUUAGAUAUGACGAAGAACUCCGAUUGGGAAGCCGGCUUACUGUAGCGCCACUGACGCUGAUGCUCGAAAGCGUGGGUAUCGAACAGGAUUAGAUACCCUGGUA